GACAUGCAGAGAACUUUCCAGAGAUGGAUUGGUGCCUUCGGGAACUCUGACACAGGUGCUGCAUGGCUGUCGUCAGCCCGUGUCGUGAGAUGUUGGGUUAAGUCCGUAACGAGCGCAACCCUUGUCCUUAGUUACCAGCACGUUAUGGUGGGCACUCUAAGGAGACUGCCGGUGACAAACCGGAGGAAGGUGGGGAUGACGUCAAGUCAUCAUGGCCCUUACGGCCUGGGCUACACACGUGCUACAAUGGUCGGUACAAAGGGUUGCCAAGCCGCGAGGUGGAGCUAAUCCCAUAAAACCGAUCGUAGUCCGGAUCGCAGUCUGCAACUCGACUGCGUGAAGUCGGAAUCGCUAGUAAUCGUGAAUCAGAAUGUCACGGUGAAUACGUUCCCGGGCCUU
rnacentral:rRNA from 1 species